AGUAGCAGCGUGUCACAGUGUCACAGAGGGGACAGCACCAUUGCCUGCCUGCCUCCCCUGGCACUCUAACAGCAGAGCUGGAGGACAGGAUUUAUGGCUCUGCAGAGGAUUUUGCAGCAUGUGAUAUCCCAGCACUCCUCUGACUGAGACAUUGUCCCUUAGCCCACCAGUGACAGCAGGGACCCAGAAGGAACAUAUUCCUGACAAUUUCAAAUUGAACCUCAAGCCUGGACUUGUGAAAAGCAUCUGCCUGCUGCAUCUUGGACAAGAAGACUGACAGUAAUUCCAAUGGGUUAACAUCACCCUCUGUGAUAUCUGCUACCUCUGCAGGGAGCUCAGCUGUGACAUGUAGAACUUGUGAAGCCAACACCACUCAGCACGGACGAAUUAUUUUUGCAGUGAUGCUGCAAGAGAGGGGAAGCAUCUAUUCCCUCUAUCCUAUUUCAUUAAAAGGCAGUGCAUUUUAUGACUUCUCCACUCCAGCUGCAAUGAUUCAGUGCCAGGUGCUGGAGCUUAUUCCCCUCUCUCCUUUGCCUGCAGAAGCAAACCAGCACUGAUCUGCAGAAGUCACAGUUUCCCUCUCAAGAGCUCUCCCAGGGCUGGGAGUCUCUGUGCUGCCCAUCAGCAGCCAUUCCUGAGUGUCCAGCAUGUCCCUCAAGUUACUGGAAACCGUAGGCUUUACCUUCCCAUUGUGUAAAGGUAAUUUGGGACCAAGGCUUCAAGCAAACAAGAAAUGGCAUUAAAACAA